UUCCGGUUGAUCCUGCCGGACCCGACUGCUAUCAGAGUGGGACUAAGCCAUGCGAGUCGACGUAGCAAUGCGUGGCGAACGGCUCAGUAACACGUAGUCAACAUGCCCAGGGGACGUGGAUAACCUCGGGAAACUGAGAAUAAACCACGAUAGGUCACGAUUUCUGGAAUGGAUCAUGGCCUAAAUCUACAUGGCCCCUGGAUUGGACUGCGGCCGAUCAGGCUGUUGGUGAGGUAAUGGCCCACCAAACCUAUAACCGGUACGGGCUCUGAGAGGAGAAGCCCGGAGAUGGGCACUGAGACAAGGGCCCAGGCCCUAUGGGGCGCAGCAGGCGCGAAACCUCUGCAAUAGGCGAAAGCCUGACAGGGUUACUCUGAGUGAUUUCCGCUAAGAGGAUCUUUUAGCACCUCUAAAAAUGGUGCAGAAUAAGGGGUGGGCAAGUCUGGUGUCAGCCGCCGCGGUAAUACCAGCACCCCGAGUGGUCGGGACGAUUAUUGGGCCUAAAGCAUCCGUAGCCGGUUCUGCAAGUCUUCCGUUAAAUCCAGCCGCUCAACGGAUGGGCCGCGGAGGAUACUACAGGACUAGGAGGCGGGAGAGGCAAGCGGUACUCAGUGGGUAGGGGUAAAAUCCUUUGAUCCAUUGAAGACCACCAGUGGCGAAGGCGGCUUGCCAGAACGCGCUCGACGGUGAGGGAUGAAAGCUGGGGGAGCAAACCGGAUUAGAUACCCGGGUAGUCCCAG
rnacentral:rRNA from 1 species